rnacentral:rRNA from 1 species
AGCAGCCGCGGUAAUUCCAGCUCCAAUAGCGUAUAUUAAAGUUGUUGCAGUUAAAAAGCUCGUAGUUGAAUUUCGGGAUUGACACAUCGGUCGUGCCUUAAGGGGUAUGAACUGGUGUAGUCAAUUUCUCACCUUCUGGAGAACCACGAUGCCCUUAAUUGGGUGUCGCGGGGAACCAGGACCUUUACUUUGAAAAAUUAGAGUGUUUAAAGCAGGCAUUUUGCUUGAAUACAUUAGCAUGGAAUAAUAAAAUAGGACGGCAUGAUUCUAUUUUGUUGGUUUCUAGGAUCACCGUAAUGAUUAAUAGGGAUAGUUGGGGGCAUUAGUAUUCAAUUGUCAGAGGUGAAAUUCUUGGAUUUAUUGAAGACUAACUACUGCGAAAGCAUUUGCCAAGGAUGUUUUCAUUAAUCAAGAACGAAAGUUAGGGGAUCGAAGACGAUCAGAUACCGUCGUAGUCUUAACCAUAAACUAUGCCGACUAGGAAUCAGACGA